rnacentral:rRNA from 1 species
AUAAGGUCAAGUUAGUAAGGGCAUACGGUGGAUGCCUAGGCGCUGAGAGGCGAAGAAGGGCGCGGACAGCUGCGAAAAGCUACGGAGAGCCGCAAGCAGGCGUAGACCCGUAGAUACCCGAAUGGGGCAACCCGUCCGGAGUCAUAUCCGGACAUCG